GCUACUACUAAGGUAUAGGUAUAGCUAGUGAAACCUGCUCACUGAUAUAGAAUAAGCAUAGCAAUUAAUAUUGAAGAGCCGCGGUAACUCUGACCGUGCUAAGGUAGCAUAAUCAAUCGCCUCUUAAUUGGAGGCUAGAAUGAAAGGAAUAACGAGUCCCUCUCUGUCUCAAGUGCAGGCAAGUCGAAAUUUAGUACCUCGUUAAGACGCGAGGAACCCCUGGUUAGACGAGAAGACCCCGUCGAGCUUUACUUUAAUUUAUCGAAUACAGGGUUCCUUGGAAAGGAACUAACUUCGGAUAAUGAAAUAGUUUAGUUGGGGUGACUGCCCAAAAUUUAUAAACUUUGGGUGAACAACGGUUUCUUAUAAAAUAGUAAUCUUUACUGAAGGGGGGACACCCUUUUCAGUUACAAAGUAGUGUAGGUUUUAAAAACCCGUUCUCUAUAGGGGAACGAUAUCGUAUAAAAGCUA
rnacentral:rRNA from 1 species